rnacentral:rRNA from 1 species
GAUGAACGCUGGCGGUGUGCCUAAUACAUGCAAGUCGAGCGAACGGACGAGAAGCUUGCUUCUCUGAUGUUAGCGGCGGACGGGUGAGUAACACGUGGAUAACCUACCUAUAAGACUGGGAUAACUUCGGGAAACCGGAGCUAAUACCGGAUAAUAUUUUGAACCGCAUGGUUCAAAAGUGAAAGACGGUCUUGCUGUCACUUAUAGAUGGAUCCGCGCUGCAUUAGCUAGUUGGUAAGGUAACGGCUUACCAAGGCAACGAUGCAUAGCCGACCUGAGAGGGUGAUCGGCCACACUGGAACGGAGACACGGUCCAGACUCCUACGGGAGGCAGCAGUAGGGAAUCUUCCGCAAUGGGCGAAAGCCUGACGGAGCAACGCCGCGUGAGUGAUGAAGGUCUUCGGAUCGUAAAACUCUGUUAUUAGGGAAGAACAUAUGUGUAAGUAACUGUGCACAUCUUGACGGUACCUAAUCAGAAAGCCACGGCUAACUACGUG